rnacentral:rRNA from 1 species
GACGAAGGUGGCGACCGUUGUUCGGAAUCACUGGGCAUAAAGAGCUCGUAGGCGGUGAGAAAAGUAGGGUGUGAAAUCCCUCGGCCCAACCGAGGAACUGCGCUCUAAACUGUCUUGCUUGAGGACCGAAGGGGACCACGGAAUUCCUGGUGGAGCGGUGAAAUGCGUUGAUAUCAGGAGGAACACCGGCGGCGAAGGCGAGCCAUCUCGCC